AUUGAACGCUGGCGGAAUGCUUUACACAUGCAAGUCGAACGGCAGCACGGACUUCGGUCUGGUGGCGAGUGGCGAACGGGUGAGUAAUGUAUCGGAACGUGCCCAGUCGUGGGGGAUAACGUAGUGAAAAUUACGCUAAUACCGCAUACGAUCUAUGGAUGAAAGCGGGGGAUCGCAAGACCUCGCGCGAUUGGAGCGGCCGAUAUCAGAUUAGGUAGUUGGUGGGGUAAAGGCCCACCAAGCCAACGAUCUGUAGCUGGUCUGAGGGGACGACCAGCCACACUGGAACUGAGACACGGUCCAGACUCCUACGGGAGGCAGCAGUGGGGAAUUUUGGACAAUGGGCGAAAGCCUGAUUCAGCCAUUCCGCGUGCAGGAUGAAGGCCCUCGGGUUGUAAACUGCUUUUGUACAGAACGAAAAGGUUUCUACUAAUACAAGGAGCUCAUGACGGUACUGUAAGAAUAAGCACCGGCUAACUACGUGCCAGCCGCCGCAGUAA
rnacentral:rRNA from 1 species